rnacentral:piRNA from 1 species
UGAGUGUGAACUUAUAAAUGGAGAGGGCCU